GGCGUAAAGAGCUCGUAGGUGGUUUGUCGCGUUGUUCGUGAAAUCUCACGGCUUAACUGUGAGCGUGCGGGCGAUACGGGCAGACUUGAGUACUGCAGGGGAGACUGGAAUUCCUGGUGUAGCGGUGGAAUGCGCAGAUAUCAGGAGGAACACCGGUGGCGAAGGCGGGUCUCUGGGCAGUAACUGACGCUGAGGAGCGAAAGCGUGGGGAGCGAACAGGAUUAGAUACCCUGGUAGUCCACGCCGUAAACGGUGGGUACUAGGUGUGGGUUUCCUUCCUUGGGAUCCGUGCCGUAGCUAACGCAUUAAGUACCCCGCCUGGGGAGUACGGCCGCAAGGCUAAAACUCAAAGAAAUUGACGGGGGCCCGCACAAGCGGCGGAGCAUGUGGAUUAAUUCGAUGCAACGCGAAGAACCUUACCUGGGUUUGACAUGCACAGGACGCCGGCAGAGAUGUCGGUUCCCUUGUGGCCUGUGUGCAGGUGGUGCAUGGCUGUCGUCAGCUCGUGUCGUGAGAUGUUGGGUUAAGUCCCGCAACGAGCGCAACCCUUGUCUCAUGUUGCCAGCGGGUAAUGCCGGGGACUCGUGAGAGACUGCCGGGGUCAACUCGGAGGAAGGUGGGGAUGACGUCAAGUCAUCAUGCCCCUUAUGUCCAGGGCUUCACACAUGCUACAAUGGCCGGUACAAAGGGCUGCGAUGCCGCGAGGUUAAGCGAAUCCUUUUAAAGCCGGUCUCAGUUCGGAUCGGGGUCUGCAACUCGACCCCGUGAAGUCGGAGUCGCUAGUAAUCGCA
rnacentral:rRNA from 1 species